UUUGAAUCCAGGGGCCACCCAACCUUGGUCACCCUAACUUGGGGCAUUUAUUGGGUCUUUGUGACAAAUAGGUGCUCUCUGUUGGGAUGAGCCAGGUUGAGGACUAUGCUUCCCACCAGU
rnacentral:pre_miRNA from 12 species